GGCGGCAGGCUUAACACAUGCAAGUCGAGCGGGGGAAAGGUGCUUGCACCUUACCUUACGGCGGACGGGUGAGUAAUGCUUAGGAAUCUGCCUAUUAGUGGGGGACAACAUUUCGAAAGGGAUGCUAAUACCGCAUACGCCCUAAGGGGGAAAGCAGGGGAUCUUCGGACCUUGCGCUAAUAGAUGAGCCUAAGUCGGAUUAACUAGUUGGUGGGGUAAAGGCCUACCAAGGCGACGAUCUGUAGCGGGUCUGUGAGGAUGAUCCCCCACACUGGGACUGAGACACAGCCCAGACUCCUACAGGAGGCCCAGUUGUGGGGAAUAAGCAGUGGGGAAUAUUGGACAAUGGGGGGAACCCUGAUCCAGCCAUGCCGCGUGUGUGAAGAAGGCCUUUUGGUUGUAAAGCACUUUAAGCGAGGAGGAGGCUACUUAGAUUAAUACUCUAGGAUAGUGGACGUUACUCGCAGAAUAAGCACCGGCUAACUCUGUGCCAGCAGCCGCGGUAAUACAGAGGGUGCGAGCGUUAAUCGGAUUUACUGGGCGUAAAGCGUACGUAGGCGGCUAAUUAAGUCGGAUGUGAAAUCC
rnacentral:rRNA from 1 species